UGCCCUACCUACCCUUGNUCCCAUUAGGACUU
rnacentral:piRNA from 1 species